rnacentral:lncRNA from 1 species
UGUCCUAUUUAAACCAUCCAACUUGAGACUAUGAAGUAUCCCACAAACAUAUAUCUCUUUCUCUUCCACACAUCAAAAUAUACAGAAAGGAUGAUUUCUGAUAAAGGAAUAUCAAUCAAAUUUCUUCUUUUUCUUCUACUUUGUGUCUCUGUUUCAGGAGAAGUGAGAUGCAUUGAAAGGGAGAGAGAAGCUCUUCUAAGCUUCAAGAAUGGCCUCAUCGAUGACUAUGGCGUUCUCUCGUCAUGGCGAAGUGACGAAUGCUGCAAAUGGUAUGGUGUUGAGUGCAGUAACACCACAGGCCAUGUCAUAGCUCUUCAUCUUGAUGGCUAUUAUAAAGGUGCAUUGCGAGGUAAGGUUGGUUCUUCCUUGCUCGAGUUGCAUCAUUUAAACUAUCUUGACCUCAGUUACAAUGAUUUUGGAGGCUAUUCAAUCCCAGAAUUCAUAGGUUCCAUGAAACAGUUACAAUAUCUGUAUCUCAUGUAUUCUCACUUUUCUGGGAUCAUUCCUCCUCAGAUUGGUAACCUUACUAACUUGCGGUUACUCGGUCUCAGUUGGAAUGAUUUUGGAGGCAAUCCAAUCCCGGAAUUCGUUUAUUCCAUGAAACAAUUACAACACUUGUAUCUCAAGUAUGCUAACUUUUCUGGGAUCAUUCCUCCUCAGAUUGGUAACCUUACCAACCUACUCUCACUUGAUCUCUCAUUCAACUCUUUGACGACUGAGAAUCUCGUUUGGCUUUCGAAUCUCUCUUCGUUGUCUUAUCUUCAUUUGAGUCAAAUCGACUUAAGUCACCCCAACUCGCUGCAACAUAUCUCAAGUCUUCAUUUCCUAUAUGAAUUGCACUUGUAUUCUUGUGGCCUCAAGGGGACUGAACCUUCUNNNN